rnacentral:rRNA from 1 species
GACGAACGCUGGCGGCGUGCUUAACACAUGCAAGUCGAACGGACAGGCCCUGCUUUUGUGGGGUGCUCGAGUGGCGAACAGGUGAGUGACACGUGUGUAACCUGCCCUUGUCUUUGGGAUAACUUCUGGGAACUGGGGCUAAUAUCGGGUAGGAGCUCCUGCUGCAUGGUGGGGGUUGGAAAAAUUCGGCGGUUGGGGAUGGACUCGCUGUUUAUCCGCUAUUUUGUGGGGUUGUUGCUUACCAAGGGUUUGAAGGGUAGCCGGCCUGGGAGGGUGAACGGCCACAAUGGGACUGAGGUGCGGCCCAGACUGCUACGGGAGGCAGCAGUGGGAAAUAUUGCACAAUGGGCGGAAGCCUGAUGCAGCAACGCCGCGUGCGGGAUGACGGCCUUCGGGUUGUAAACCGCUUUCGCCUGUGACGAAGCGUGAGUGACGGUAAUGGGUAAGGAAGCAACGGCUAACUACGUG